UUUUACUUCUUGUACUUCAUUUUUUACUGACUGUCCAAGCGUAAUACUUUAGUUGUGUUUUGAGAAUUUUUUUUCUGCAAUCUUUCGUGCGACGUGGGCAUAGUUCCCAAAGUCGGCAUUUUGUUGCUCUUCCCUAACUGCUUUCUCAGUGGCAACGCUGCUUUGUCUCAGGCUGAUUGAUUUGUGAGUGAGUUCUGUUUCUCACAAUUGGGGACUUGUCCGGGAUCCAAAACUCCGACCGCUCGACACUCUUGGGACGAUAGGGGAGGUGCACCUCGCCAAUUUCGGUGAUCUCCGACUGCCUUGCUUGUCAUUCGCAGUUUGGGCGAGUACGAUCUGGAUGGGAGACCCUGGAAACAAGGCUGGCAGACGAGGCGGGUUCGGUCGGGCAACUCUUGUGCACAAGACUAGGGUAGGGAAAGCUCUUAAAGGAUAUAUCCGGACAACCGGGGGCAGCGGUAUUUGCUGCAGGAAUUGCCGCGGGAGGGGGCGCACCGAAAUGACCAGGUAACUCUGUGCACAGACCAAGGAAUAAAGGCUUGUUGGUACAGAUACCGCCACUCGAAUUUGCAGCACACUGUAUACAGCCGGGUGAUUGGGUCCUGAUCAAGACUUGGAAAGAUACCAAACUCCACCCGAGUUUGGAGGGACCAUUCCUAACCCUCCUGACUACUGAGACAGCUAUCCAGACUGCUGAGAAAGGGUGGAGUCAUCACACUCGCGUCAAAGGUCCUGUGAAAGCCCCAUUGGCGGAGUGGUACGCUCAUCCUACAGACAACCUUCUGAAAGUUAAGCUGAGAAAGAAGGAAUGAACUGAGAUAAAAGACUCUUUUACUCUUUUAACGUUUGAUGAUGUAUAUAUUGUUAUUGAUUGUAAGGGUUGCGUGGACUCACUUCUCCCUGGCGCCUAAAAGAUUAAGACGGCGGUAGGCAAGGUUCAGAGAUGGGUGGAUACUGGUAUAGUAUUGUAAUUUUAGUAGUACUAACUGUUCAAGGAAGCGGGAAAAAUCACUUCACUACACUAUGCCAAAAUUAUGCUAAACAAGAGGGACUUGCUGACUGUUGGGUCUGUGCAGAGGUCCCACACCAUGGCGAAUCUGGGAUCCCUACCUCGGUAAUACCGCUCACCAAAAGAGAAGUGUACGAUGUACAACAAUUUGACUCGGGCUCAAAUGAUACAAAGUGGCUUUUUAACAGGGGUGAAUAUAACUUUGCGGGAUGGUUCCCUAGACCAGCCCCGAAAACCCAGGAUGCUAUCGAUGGCCUUAGAGUUUCCCCACCGAAAGGAGCAGUAAAUACCACCUGUUUCUGUAAUCAGAAUAACGCCGCACCCUUCUAAUUAGGAAAAUCAUCUUGUGUCUACACCAGCCAAGCCACUGCCACGAUAGUUCCACUUCUAUUAAACGGAACAUAUUGGGUAUGCAGACUGAGGGCCUGUCCAUUUGUUCCCGGGGAAGAAUGCAUUCACGUGACCGAAUGUAUAGGAAUGCAUGCUCGUUAUGAUGUUGAUGAAACACUGCCUCAAAGUCAGAAAGGCUGGAGUGGCUGCUGUUACCUCGCUUAUAUAGUUCCUCCACCUCCGAUUAGAAAAACAUGAGCACAACCUGAGAAAGGAGGGGUAAUAAGACGUAAGGCCCGAGAGGUCUCUGAAGGACACCGUCUGUUGUGGACACUAUUCCCAAACUACGGCGCUGUAAGGGUAGGGGUAAAAAUACAGAAAUUGGCAGCUGCCCUUGAAAAUUUAAUUAAUGAUACCCCUGGCGCAGUGGGAGAAACUCAAUCCCAAAUAUCAGCCAUAACCACCGAAAUGAUUGCCACAAGACUAACAGCUUUACAGAAUCGAAUGGCUUUAGACUAUCUUUUGGCCGAAAAAGGGGGAACCUGUGCUCUGAUUAUUCAGGAAUGCUGCACCUUCAUCACAGACAUCUCUUCCAUAGUGGAAGAUAAGGCAGAAAUAGUAAAGAAAAAUAUAAGCAGUAUAAGAGAAAUUGGGGAUGAACUCCAAAAAGAUGAAGGAUGGGGAUGGGGUGACUGGAGACUGACCGGUUGGGGAAAAUGGUUAGUUAAUUUAGGCAUUUAUGUGUUACUAAUAAUUGUAGGUUUACUGAUAGGAUUUAAUGUGUUAAAGUGGAUAUUGACUAAGCUGGUAAUGUCUUUGGGAGGACAACAAUCAAUGAUGGUCAUGACAAUAGCACAAGUGCAAGAAAGAGAGAGUAGCAGAUUACUCCUAGAGUUUGAAAAAAGACAGACUUAGAAGGACAGAAAUGGCAAGAUUGUGAACCUCGACACCAUAGGGUGAAAAGAGGGCAGAAAAUAAAAUUGCAAAAACAACAAAUGGUAAAAAAAAAGAAAUGGAGUUGUAAGAAAUGGGGAAGUGUGUUGUUUUUGCAGAAAUAGAAAAGCAAGAGUGUAUAUGUGCAGAAAAGGGGUACAAGAAAAAUAUCAGUUAAGCAAGCAUUAGGGAAAUGUGUCUUUAUCUUUAUUGUAUAAUUGUGGAUAAUUGAGUACUAACUUUAGUGCAGAAUUAUUAAAGCAAAUAAUUUCUUUCAUCAUAAUGUUUUAAAUAAUAGUUUCAGCGAAAUAGCUGAAACGCAUAAACUAGGCACAAAAAGAUACAUUGUUAAAACGUAUGUUCAAGAAUGGAAUGUACCUAUGAGCAAUGGAAGAUGUUACAAGCAAACAGAUAAAGUGAAAGGAACAUCAAGAUCCAAGUUUAGCAAAAUCUUCCUUAUGUCAGCACUUACAGAGGGAAGGGUUGCCAACUUGGAGAAGGGGGGAAAUAAUAAGAGCGGAUCGCAAGUUAGUCAAAGAAUAAAGUUGAUUGGGUAAUGCAGGAGUCAGAACAGGUGACCUCACGCAGCUCAAAAGUAUAACUGUGUACUAGUUUGAAUGUUCAUUGCUCAUUUGCUUCUGCAUUUGAUGC